GCGGGUGUGGUGUAUGGUUCACCGCUGUAUUGGGUUAAAUCCUGUUGUUGUGAUUAAACAGCAGAACCGGGUUCGACUCCUGGCACCCGCA